rnacentral:hammerhead_ribozyme from 1 species
AGUCGAAACCGGGAACUUUCCCGGUCCGCCGGAAUUAGCCUACCGGCGCUGAUGAGACAGGCUAUA